GGAUGAGCCCGCGGCCUAUCAGCUUGUUGGUGAGGUAACGGCUCACCAAGGCGACGACGGGUAGCCGACCUGAGAGGGCGACCGGCCACACUGGGACUGAGACACGGCCCAGACUCCUACGGGAGGCAGCAGUGGGGAAUAUUGCACAAUGGGCGAAAGCCUGAUGCAGCGACGCCGCGUGAGGGAUGACGGCCUUCGGGUUGUAAACCUCUUUCAGCAGGGAAGAAGCGAAAGUGACGGUACCUGCAGAAGAAGCGCCGGCUAACUACGUGCCAGCAGCCGCGGCCG
rnacentral:rRNA from 1 species